rnacentral:pre_miRNA from 9 species
AUGGAGACUCUGUUAAGCUCAGGAGGGAUAGCGCCGUGAAGAUCAUUGAUAUAUUAUUGUCCAAACAAAACAUAUGUAUAGUCUUUAGUGGCGCUAUCCAUCCUGAGUUUCACAGGUUCUUCUU